UAUUAAGUUGAUGCAAAAGUAAUUGCGGUUUUUGCCAUUACUGUCAAUGGCAAAAACUGAAAUUACUUUUGCAUCAACAUAAAACUU
rnacentral:miRNA from 1 species